UUCUUGGCUAUCUACACUUAUUUUUUUCCCCUAAGUGUUGGGACAUUUUCAAGGAAGCAAAUUUAAGGAAGAGAGUUGGUGUGGCCCAUUCCAUGAGUUCUGCAGCAAUGCUUCUGGACUAUUUUGUGAGGCUGAAGCAAUUCAGAAGUGACCAGGAAGGAGGCAGGCGGCCCAGUUGUCCUCCCAUGAUACUGAGAGAUGUAAAUACAGGAGAGCAGAGGAAGAAGGGAAAACAGAAGACUGAGGAGGAAGAUUUUGUUCAGUUCACUGGUUCUGUAGUACCCACAUUUAUUCUAGAUUUAUGGAAAGAUUCUCAGAAGAGCAGUGAGGAGCUAAACAUCCUUGCUCCUCCCAUUUAAUAUUCAGUACAAAUUACUCUCAGAGGCUUUGGACAUCUCCUCACCACGUAC